GUGAACCAUGAAUUUAUUGAGAGGUU
rnacentral:piRNA from 1 species